GAUGAGUUCUCCCUGAGACUUAAAGUCUCCUGAAGGAACGUUGAAGACGACGACGUUGAUAGGCCGGGUGUGUAAGCGCAGCGAUGCGUUGAGCUAACCGGUACUAAUGAACCGUGAGGCUUAACCUUACAACGCCGAAG
rnacentral:rRNA from 2 species